rnacentral:lncRNA from 1 species
GAGUUCAAGCAACUCUCCUGCCUCAGCCUCCCAAGUACCUGGAGCACCGGUGCCUGUCACUACACUCUGCUAAUUUUUGUAUUUUUGGUAGUCAAGGUUUCACCAUGUUGGCCAGGGCUGGUCUUGAACUCCUGGGCUCAAGCAAUCCUACUGCCUUGGCCUCCCCAAAAUGUUGGGAUUACUACUUUCAAGGAACAUGUAGUCUUGUUGGACAUUACAAUAUUUAUCAUUAUUCUUUUGAGGUGGAAUAUGGAGUAAAAGCUACAGAGAUAGAGUUGCUCAAGUCUUUUCAGUUGGAAAAUCUGUAAGAACAGGAAU